GCAAACUUGGUCAUUUAGAGGAAGUACAAGUCGUAACAAGGUAUCCGUAGGUGAACCUGCGGAUGGAUCAUUACCAAAGGAUUCAUUUCUUUCGUGUACUAUGUGAACUGUUUUUACCAUUUUGUAAAUGGGUGUGCAACAACAACCGAGGUCAGUGUGUGAAUUUUUUUGGUGAGAGCCAAAAAACGCGUACUGACCUGGGGAGGCACCAAUUUAACGUAAUUUUUUUCCAAUGAAACUGAAAUCUACUAUUUUUUAGUAAGAACUAAAAAACAACUUUUAGCAACGGAUCUCUUGGCUCUCGCAUCGAUGAAGAACGCAGC
rnacentral:misc_RNA from 1 species